rnacentral:rRNA from 1 species
CCUACGGGAGGCAGCAGUGGGGAAUUUUGGACAAUGGGCGCAAGCCUGAUCCAGCAAUGCCGCGUGAGUGAAGAAGGCCUUCGGGUUGUAAAGCUCUUUUGUCAGGGAAGAAACGGUGGGGGCUAAUAUCUCCUGCUAAUGACGGUACCUGAAGAAUAAGCACCGGCUAACUACGUGCCAGCAGCCGCGGUAAUACGUAGGGUGCAAGCGUUAAUCGGAAUUACUGGGCGUAAAGCGUGCGCAGGCGGUUUUGUAAGUUUGUCGUGAAAUCCCCGGGCUCAACCUGGGAAUGGCGAUGAAGACUGCAAGGCUAGAAUCUGGCAGAGGGGGGUAGAAUUCCACGUGUAGCAGUGAAAUGCGUAGAGAUGUGGAGGAACACCGAUGGCGAAGGCAGCCCCCUGGGUCAAGAUUGACGCUCAUGCACGAAAGCGUGGGGAGCAAACAGGAUUAGAUACCCUGGUAGUCCACGCCCUAAACGAUGUCUACUAGUUGUCGGGUUUUAAUUAACGUUGGUAACGCAGCUACGUCGUGAGUAGACCGCCGUCGGGAGGUACGGUCGCGAAGUAGUUAAACUUACAAUAGUUAGUUAGUACGGCGUUGAGACGUUGCCGACGGACGACGACGAGGGAGGAGG